rnacentral:rRNA from 1 species
CAGUCGCCGCGGGAAUACCGAGGGUGCGAGCGUUAAUCGGAAUUACUGGGCGUAAAGCGCGCGUAGACGGUUUGGUAAGUCAGAUGUGAAAUCCCUGGGCUCAACCUGGGAACUGCAUUUGAUACUGCCUGGCUAGAGUAUCGAAGAGGGAAGUGGAAUUUCCGGUGUAGCGGUGAAAUGCGUAGAUAUCGGAAGGAACACCAGUGGCGAAAGCGACUUCCUGGUCGAAUACUGACGUUCAUGUGCGAAAGCGUGGGGAGCAAACAGGAUUAGAUACCCCGGUAGUCCCUGUCUCUUAUAC